rnacentral:rRNA from 1 species
UACGUAGGGAGCAAGCGCUGUCCGGAAUCAUUGGGCGUAAAGCGCGCGUAGGUGGCCCCAUAAGUCCGCUGUGAAAGUCAAAGGCUCAACCUUUGAAAGCCGGUGGAUACUGUGGGACUAGAGUACGGAAGAGGCGAGUGGAAUUCCUGGUGUAGCGGUGAAAUGCGCAGAUAUCAGGAGGAACACCGAUGGCGAAGGCAGGUCUCUGGGCAUUAACUGACGCUGAGGAGCGAAAGCAUGGGGAGCGAACAGG